AAUAGUAACGAAACUGUCGGAAACGUUUCCAAUGAGAACAAGAUGAGAACGAAAGUAGCGAGAACGUUUUCAAGGAGGAUCAAAUAAGAACAAAAGUCUGAGAAACGUUCUG